rnacentral:sRNA from 2 species
AACCCCCCGACGCCAUUGAUACGAGGCCCAUCUUUAGUUGACGCGGGUUUACCCUUUGUAUUCUUCGUGCGUUCGAAAAAGUAGAAAAUAAUUCUGGGUUGCUUUUUACCUUUUUGGAUAACAGCGCCUUUGCGGUGUUCAUCUCUCUCAGCUCACUCUGCGUCACACAUAAACGCUCUCCACAAACAUCAUCUUGGGCCAGCAUUAAUAGUUCUUCGUCAUUAACCACCAUUUACAUGCUAUCUAGACUCUAGAUUCACCCCAUUUUUCAGCUCGAAGCGCCCCCAGAAAUUCCCAUCAUCGUGAUAUCAGCUACCCGGUUUUGACUAGCAUCCACCACCCUAACCAUCACCAAUGAUUGUUUGUUACCUCCACACCUGGAAGGGAAAUGAAUGGACACCCGAAGCCCGGCUCCGAUUCUCGGGAAUUUACUUAAGUGGACGGCAACCCGCUCCGUUGGCUCAUCUCUGUCAUUAAACCAGAACAGUUGACACCGCACGCCCUUGAAAGGCAACCUCCCUUGAAUCGUGCGUUCAAAAUGGGAAAAAGACAACGGGGGGAUUGAAAGAGAUGAUAUGCAGACAUAGAAGAC